rnacentral:rRNA from 1 species
ACUGCUAUCGGAUUGAUACUAAGCCAUGCGAGUCAUUGUAGCAAUACAAGGCAUACGGCUCAGUAACGCGUAGUCAACCUAACCUAUGGACGGGAAUAACCUCGGGAAACUGAGAAUAAUGCCCGAUAGAACACUAUACCUGGAAUGGUUUGUGUUCCAAAUGAUUUAUCGCCAUAGGAUGGGACUGCGGCCUAUCAGUUUGUUGGUGAGGUAAUGGCCCACCAAGACUAUUACAGGUACGGGCUCUGAGAGGAGUAGCCCGGAGAUGGGUACUGAGACACGGACCCAGGCCCUAUGGGGCGCAGCAGGCGAGAAAACUUUGCAAUGUGCGAAAGCACGACAAGGUUAAUCCGAAUGAUUUGUGCUAAACGAAUCUUUUGUUAGUCCUAGAAACACUAACGAAUAAGGGGUGGGCAAGUUCUGGUGUCAGCCGCCGCGGUAAAACCAGCACCUCAAGUGGUCAGGAUGAUUAUUGGGCCUAAAGCAUCCGUAGCCGGCUCUGUAAAUUUUCGGUUAAAUCUGUACGCUUAACCUACAAGCUGCCGGGAAUACUGCAAAACUAGGGAGUGGGAGAAGUAGACGGUACUCGGUAGGAAGUGGUAAAAUGCUUUGAUCUAUCGAUGACCACCUGUGGCGAAGGCGGUCUAACAGAACACGU